rnacentral:rRNA from 1 species
UCAAGCUAGAAAGAGCGCAAGGGGAAUGCCUUGGCAUCAGGAGCCGAUGAAGGACGUGACAAGCUGCGAUAAGCUUCGGGGAGGUGCAAAUGACCGUUGAUCCGGAGAUUUCCGAAUGGGGAAACCCGGCAGAGCAAUACUCUGUCAACCUGCGUUGAAUCAAAUAGGCGUAGGUGGGGAACCGCCUGAACUGAAACAUCUAAGUAGGGCGAGGAAGAGAAAUCAACCGAGAUUCCGCUAGUAGUGGCGAGCGAACGCGGAAGAGGCCAAACCAGAGGAUUUAUUCUCUGGGGUUGCGGACAGUCAAGAAGUGGGAAUUGGUUAGCCGAAAGGCCUGGGAAGGCCUGCCACAGACGGUGAGAGCCCGGUAGGCGAAAAUCAAUUUCUAGUGGACUGGAUCCAGAGUACCACGGGACACGUGAAACCCUGUGGGAAACCGGGGGGACCACCCUCCAAGCCUAAAUACUACCUGAUGACCGAUAGAGGAGCAGUACCGUGAGGGAAAGGUGAAAAGGACCCCGGGAGGGGAGUGAAAGAGAACCUGAAACCUUGUGCUUACAAGCACUCAAAGCCCGUUAAGGGGUGAUGAGGUACCUUUUGUAGAAUGGUCCGGCGAGUUAUUGUUAUCAGCAAGCUUAAGGUAUUCAGUACCGAAGGCGAAGGGAAACCGAGUGUGAAUAGCGCGAAUGAGUUGGUGGCAAUAGACCCGAAACCGGGUGACCUAUCCAUGGGCAGGUUGAAGUGGAGGUAAAACUCCAUGGAGGACCGAACGCACGUUCGUUGCAAUGACCGGCGAUGACCUGUGGAUAGCGGUGAAAUUCCAAUCGAACCCGGAGAUAGCUGGUUCUCCCCGAAAUAGCUUUAGGGCUAGCGUCGAGGUAAGUUGCGUGAAGGUAGAGCACUGAAUAUGUGAUGGCCCCAUCUCGGGGUACUGAGCAUAAUCAAACUGCGAAUGUCACGCCAACAUGCUCGGCAGUCAGACAGCGGGUGAUAAGGUCCGUUGUCAAGAGGGAAACAGCCCAGACCAUCAGCUAAGGUCCCAAAAUGUAUGCUAAGUGGAAAAGGAUGUGGAGAUGUACAGACAACUAGGAGGUUGGCUCAGAAGCAGCCAUCCUUUAAAGAGUGCGUAACAGCUCACUAGUCGAAUGACUCUGCGCCGAUAAUUUACCGGGGCUAAGCAUACUACCGAAGCUAUGGAUCCCAAGGGAUGGUAGGGGAGCGUUCCAUGAACGGAGAAGUACGACCGAAAGGACGUGUGGAGAUCAUGGAAGAGAGAAUGCCGGUGUGAGUAGCGGAACGUGGGUGAGAAUCCCACGCACCGAAAACCCAAGGUUUCCAGAGGAAGGUUCGUCCGCUCUGGGUAAGUCGGGACCUAAGGCGAGGCCGAAAGGCGUAGUCGAUGGACAACAGGUAGAGAUUCCUGUACCCGUAUAUAUGUGAAGGAAUGACGGAGAGAGGAAGCUGCAGCCAGCGGCUGGAAGAGCUGGUGCAAGCGAGAUAUCGGGAUGGCAGGCAAAUCCACCAUCCGAAACGAGAAGGCGUGAAGCGUACGGAAAGCUACGGCGAGUACGGAAGGCAGUGGAGGAACUUCCAAGAAAAGUUUCUAACGUUAAGUAUAUAUGGCCCGUACCGAAAAUGGACACACAUGGGUGAGGAGAGAAUCCUAAGGUGAGCGAGAGAACUAUAGCUAAGGAACUCUGCAAAAUGACUCCGUAACUUAGGGAGAAGGAGUGCUCAUAGAGAUAUGAGCCGCAGUGAAACGGCCCAAGCGACUGUUUACCAAAAACACAGCUCUAUGCUAAGUCGAAAGACGACGUAUAUGGGGUGACGCCUGCCCGGUGCUGGAAGGUUAAGAGGAUGUGUCAGCGCAAGCGAAGCACUGAAUUGAAGCCCCAGUAAACGGCGGCCGUAACUAUAACGGUCCUAAGGUAGCGAAAUUCCUUGUCAGGUAAGUUCUGACCCGCACGAAAGGCGUAACGAUUUGGGCGCUGUCUCAGCUGUAGACUCGGUGAAGUCUUAGUACCUGUGAAGAUGCAGGUUACCCGCGACUAGACGGAAAGACCCCAUGGAGCUUCACUGCAGGUUGAUAUUGGGAUUUGAUGCAGCAUGUACAGGAUAGGUAGGAGGCAAAGAGAUGGAUACGCCAGUAUUCAAGGAGCCGCUGUUGGGAUACUACCCCUGUUGUAUUGGAUUUCUAACCGGACGACGUAGAACCGUUGACGGGACAGUGUCAGUCGGGCAGUUUGACUGGGGCGGUCGCCUCCCAAAGAGUAACGGAGGCGCCCAAAGAUACCCUCAGCUUGGAUGGAAACCAAGCGCAGAGUGCAAAGGCAAAAGGGUGUUUGACUGCGAGACCCACAAGUCGAGCAGGGACGAAAGUCGGGCUUAGUGAUCCGGCGGUGCUGAAUGGAAAGGCCGUCGCUCAACGGAUAAAAGCUACCCUGGGGAUAACAGGCUGAUCUCCCCCAA